rnacentral:rRNA from 1 species
GUAGUCUCGCACAGAUGCAUAUCAAUAAGCGGAGGAAAAGAAACUAACAAGGAUUCCCCUAGUAACGGCGAGUGAAGCGGGAAGAGCUCAAAUUUGAAAUCUUAAAGGGUUUCCCUUUACGAAUUGUAGUUUAAAGAAGUGUUUUCUGUUGAGGUUUUGGUAAAAGUUCUUUGGAAUAGGACAUCAUAGAGGGUGAGAAUCCCGUAUUUGACCUUUACUUUCAACUUUGUGAUACACUUUCAAAGAGUCGGAUUGUUUGGGAAUGCAGUCCAAAAUGGGUGGUAAAUUUCAUCUAAAGCUAAAUAUUGGCGAGAGACCGAUAGCGAACAAGUACCGUGAGGGAAAGAUGAAAAGAACUUUGAAAAGAGAGUUAAACAGUACGUGAAAUUGUCAAAAGGGAAGCGUUUGACACCAGUGUUGCUUUUUCUGAAAAUCAAUUAAAGAACUGUUUAUGCUAAGUUGUUUAGACUUUAUCAGCUAACUGUUUAGUUUUGAGCUUUUCUUUAAUGCACUUUUCAGUUAACAAGUCAACAUCAAUUUCUUUUGCUGUAAAAAAGCUUGAGGAAGGUGGCUUGAGAUUCGUCUUAAGUGUUUAUAGCCUCUUGCCUAUGCAGUCGGAGAGAUUGAGGUCUGCAGCGUAGAUCCUUCGGGGCUAAAUGCAUUUGUGCUAAGUUAUAACAUUUUAUAGACAACUUGUUGACUAUGAUUUGUCUUGUAGCUUACUCGCUUAUGUUAUUUUACCUACGCUUAGGAUGUUGAUCUGUAGUGCGUGCGC